rnacentral:rRNA from 1 species
CCUACGGGGCGCAGCAGUGAGGAAUAUUGGUCAAUGGACGAGAGUCUGAACCAGCCAAGUAGCGUGAAGGAUGACUGCCCUAUGGGUUGUAAACUUCUUUUAUAUGGGAAUAAAACGUUCCACGUGUGGGAUUUUGUAUGUACCAUAUGAAUAAGGAUCGGCUAACUCCGUGCCAGCAGCCGCGGUAAUACGGAGGAUCCGAGCGUGAUCCGGAUUUAUUGGGUUUAAAGGGAGCGUAGGUGGAUUGUUAAGUCAGUUGUGAAAGUUUGCGGCUCAACCGUAAAAUUGCAGUUGAUACUGGCAGUCUUGAGUACAGUAGAGGUGGGCGGAAUUCGUGGUGUAGCGGUGAAAUGCUUAGAUAUCACGAAGAACUCCGAUUGCGAAGGCAGUUCACUGGACUGCAACUGACACUGAGGCUCGAAAGUGUGGGUAUCAAACAGGAUUAGAUACCCGGGUAGUC